rnacentral:lncRNA from 1 species
CUGUAGAACUGCAACACUGUAGGAUCAGCUCUCACUACUUUUGGGUCAAAAUCCAGAACACGGAGACCUGCAAGGCUACGGGCUCGGGAAAGGGCUACAUAAGCCUGCCCACUUUCAAAGACACGAGACAGGGAGAUUUCCACAGAAUCUAAAGACAUGCCCUGGCUCUUGUGAAUGGAAAUGGCCCAUGCCAAUUUUAGGGGCAACUGCUGGCGACUCAGAUGAACUCCUGAUGGCCCCUUGAAGAGCCACCUCUCCAUUUUGAUGACUUGUGUGACUCCACAGAGAAACCUUACCUUGGGCAGCCCCUUCUGUUCAGUUUCAAAUCCUACAACAACUCCUCGUGCUCCAUUCACCAGCCCUUGAGACACGUCCAGAUUCUUAGCUAGCAUCACCUGAGCUCCGACCUUGAGCUCAACUCUACCACCCACAGGACACUGAUCAUCA